rnacentral:misc_RNA from 1 species
AAAAAAAUGAUCAAAAUGUCUUUAACUCUAAGGUUUUGCUAAAUUUUUGGAAUUAAAUUAUAAUUUAUCAAAUUUUAGUUUGAGAGUGAGGUAAAAUUUAUUAAUUUUGAAAAAUUUAGUUUAAUCAUAAGUAGGAUAAAUGAGCAACAAAUAUGAAAGUUUGAAUUUAUUCGAUGAAUAAACCUUUAGACAAAAGAUAAUUUAUUGACAUUUUUAUUUCUUUUUGAAAUGUUAUUAAUUUUUUUAUCGUGAGUUUUCGUGCUUAAUUUUGUUUAGGUUGAGAACCCUGACGAGCAAAUGAAUCAUCAUGCCGGAUAAAAAUGCAAAUGCUUGUUUUGUGGAAGAAUUUAAAUCAACAUAUUAGAUUUCUGUAAGCGUUGAUGUAUCAGGAGUGGUUGGCAUGGGUUGAGGUAGAUUGCGAAGUGGUUGCAUAUAUCUGUAUCUUAUGCACUUAGGCUUUCAAUAGAGAGGGUAUGAUGAAGAAUUGUUAACUUCUGAAUUGUUGGUUCUUGCUCUUUUUUUUUAUUCCUUUCUUUUUUUCUUUUCGUUUCUUUUUGUUGAUAAGUUGGUUCUUGCUCUUAGUAAUAGCUAAUUAAAACGGGAUGACUUCUUAGGAGCCUAUGAAUACGUAUAGAAAUCUAAGUCAAUGUCAUGGAUGAGAUAAGAUGAGGCGCAAUACCUGGAAAAUUGAAGUGGAAACAAUCUUUCUUUUUCAUUUGAAGGGAGAUCCUGAAGGUUAGAUUUUCAUCAUUGUAGUUAGAAGUGUCAAUAAUCAACAAUGAAGUUGAUAAUGUGGUUUGGAGUCCUAUCUGAAUCUAGAGUUACUUGAACUCGACUUCUUUCAGAUCACUGGUGGCGUUAUUACAAAUUUUCUGUUGCAGUUGGCCUCCUGUUUUUCUUUUUUCCUUGCAGUUGAAUUAAUAAAAACUGCAUCCCAACAAAUAAAUUAAUAAAUUCUAGGAUACCUUCCAUCAAGUUGACCUUACCGCUCAGCCAUAGAUUCCGUAUAAAGAACGUUCAAUCACAGAAUGAAAACUGCAUCUGGGUUCAGCCAGAUAUGUACAUGGUAAUUGAAUAUGUCCUUGAUCAAUAAUUUUGGUGAUGCGAUCUGGAUAUGCUUGUUUUGGUGUUAUGAUUGAGUUUAUUGUCCUAAGUCUGAACUUGAAAGCAUACUUUCUCCCUUUGCCCGGAAAAACAAAGAGGCAGCUGGCUAAGAUUUGAGAUCAUUGUAAUUUCACAGGUUAUGCUUUCCAAUUUAAUGGUAAAAUUCUCAUCUGGAAAGAGCUAGUAUGGGAUAGUGUAUGGAGUUCUUCGACCACUUUUAUGUUAUUAGUGUGCCAAUGUCUAUCGUAGCCGAAGAUUUUGCUGCAAAGGAAGAUCGGGAUGGUGUACUGCUGAAACUAAAUGCAAGUAGAAGCUUCUGAUUGCAUGGUUAUCUUCGUUGGAGCAUACCAUUGGUAUUUAGUAUAAACUUGUUUGCAAUGACCCUACCCAAAGUAAGAAAGAACGUUAGCCCUUGUUGCUUUCUGGAAUAAGAAUUGGUGCUUAUAACAGUUUGAUUUCUAUUUUAUCAUUUGCAUUCACUGCCCAAAGCGAAUUUAUAUUCCAUGGAAAAUAAUAGAAGGAUUCACUUCACAUCAUAGAUAGGAUUUUAGUUGUUUUAGCAGGUCUCAAACCAUCUUUUCAUGAAUCUUUCAUUUUUCAUCCUACUUUUAUUGUAGCACCUGGUUUACCCUUUUUGUCAAGCAUGGGAACUUUUCAAAGGUGCUCUUGUAUAACGUUUCUAUGGUAAUACAUUAUAUAGAUAAAUUACGUUAUAAAUCUAUGGCUAUCUAGUGUAGAGGAUUCAUUCAAAACAACAGUGACUUGUUUCUAUAAUCUGUUUUCUUAACCACUAGUUUGCUGAAGGAAGUUGAAUGUUAAUUUUUGUUAUAAUAUUGUUUUGAUUCUGGGUUCCUUGAGUAAAACAGUGGAAUGCUAGAUUCUUUUUUUUUUUUCUUGAUUUUUUAAUAUCGUCCCUUCAUAUCAACAAAUGAUAUGUCAUAUGAUUCGGUGUUUUCCUUUUUAAUAAUAAAUUUAUUGCGGCUGUUGAUGUAGAAACAAUUUAAUAAAAUCAUUAUCAUAUGAAAACUUGCUAAAAGUUUUACAAAAUGCACAAAUUGUAUUUCUACUGCAGUUUAGGGAUUGAUGUGCCUCAUGAUGUUUAGACUCUUUUUCCCUCGAAGAUUUUAUAUGAAUACAACAGUGUGGCUUUGUUUCCUUUUCCCUUGAAAAGUGGAAAAAAAAGCUUCUAAUAUAUCAAAUACUUUGAAUAUGAUCAGAGCAGUUUCAAUGAUUUUGCAAGCCUUCGUUGGAAGAUCCCCAUACACCUUAUGAUUUUCAUAAAUUUAUUCGUCUCUGAAGCCUUUCACAACAGAGUACUUGUAAAUUUGUACAUGCAGGUGCAUCAUGUAUACCAUUUACAUGAAAGGGACGUAAGUUCCAGACUUAAUCCCCUUUUGCUGUGAACAGAACCAUAUGUUCUCCUUAAAUGAAUAUUAUAUAUGCAUUAAGAAUAUUCCAAACAUUAUCAAGCAAGGUUCUCCUUAAUUUUGUAUUCGCUGCAUUUACUGCUGCGUUAUGUAUUUGUGCAGAGAUUAUUGUUAUUAUUAUUGUUAUCAUAAGCAAGAUUAUAAUUCUUGUUUGCAUGAACAAACACCAUUGACAUUAAUUUCAGUGGUAAAAUUUUGAUGCAGGAAAGCGAAGAUGGAGAAAUAUAUAGCAGCAAGCCACAAGUGAAUGCAUAUGCCUUCCUAGCUAGCAGUGGGUGACAUACCAUAGCAUGAAGCUUCUGAAAGCGUUGGUGUUCAGCUUUAACCAUUCUGGAGUCAGUUCAGGUUGCAUUCUCACAUGUCAGGAUGCAUUUAUGUAUGCGUGCAAAAGCAAUUGUGUGUUUUUUUGAAAUAUGUAGAACAAUUCGAUUGAAGUUAAUUCUUUUUCCCUUGUCUAUGAUUAUUCUGAAAUUGUGUAUACCAUUGGUUGAGCAAAGCACAUGCCUCUUCUCUUGGAAACUAAUUCGGACUUAAAUGUUACUAUGAUCACCACCAUUUUUCAUCUUCCCUCAACUCGAAACAACAAUCUUAUGCACUUUUCAAGUUAAAUUGUAAAUAAUGGAAUGUACUCUGUUGACAGUUUUUGAGAGAAUAGCUCUAAAGCCCAUAUACUAUCGACCAUAUGAUACCGUGAUCUGACCUGUGAGAUCCAAAAAAACAGCAGCGUGGAAGGCGGAAAUCUGCAACGCCAAUCACACAUGAUGAGCUCAAGCCGAUGAAGGUGAACAGGAAAGCACAAUUUCUCCACUCAUACGAAGAGAUAAAAGCACCAACAAAGCCAAAUGGAGAGUUGAGCUUGAGUUUUAAAUCAAAUUGAGAGAGAAUUUACCAUCAUGUUAAAAGGUUAUGCAUUGCAGGGAUAUGGCAAUUGGAGCUGAGUUUGUCAAAUUUGUAACUGGAUAAGUGGGAUUCAACUAAGAUUGGGCACUGCGAGGUGCGUGACGUUUUGUCAUCAUAAAUAAUUGUAUGAACUAGUUGUUUACCAACACAUUGUGUGGCUUUUAAAUUUUCAAAUUAUUAUUUAAAAU